rnacentral:rRNA from 1 species
UCNNNNNNNNNNNNNNNNNNNNGACGAAAAAUGAAUACCAAGUCUCAAGAGUGAACACGUAAUUCAUUACGAAGUUUAAUUCAUUGAGCAUCAAACUUUUAAAUUGAAGAGUUUGAUCAUGGCUCAGAUUGAACGCUGGCGGCAGGCCUAACACAUGCAAGUCGAACGGUAACAGGAAGCAGCUUGCUGCUUUGCUGACGAGUGGCGGACGGGUGAGUAAUGUCUGGGAAACUGCCUGAUGGAGGGGGAUAACUACUGGAAACGGUGGCUAAUACCGCAUAACGUCGCAAGACCAAAGAGGGGGACCUUCGGGCCUCUUGCCAUCAGAUGUGCCCAGAUGGGAUUAGCUUGUUGGUGAGGUAACGGCUCACCAAGGCGACGAUCCCUAGCUGGUCUGAGAGGAUGACCAGCCACACUGGAACUGAGACACGGUCCAGACUCCUACGGGAGGCAGCAGUGGGGAAUAUUGCACAAUGGGCGCAAGCCUGAUGCAGCCAUGCCGCGUGUAUGAAGAAGGCCUUCGGGUUGUAAAGUACUUUCAGCGGGGAGGAAGGUGUUGUGGUUAAUAACCGCAGCAAUUGACGUUACCCGCAGAAGAAGCACCGGCUAACUCCGUGCCAGCAGCCGCGGUAAUACGGAGGGUGCAAGCGUUAAUCGGAAUUACUGGGCGUAAAGCGCACGCAGGCGGUCUGUCAAGUCGGAUGUGAAAUCCCCGGGCUCAACCUGGGAACUGCAUUCGAAACUGGCAGGCUUGAGUCUUGUAGAGGGGGGUAGAAUUCCAGGUGUAGCGGUGAAAUGCGUAGAGAUCUGGAGGAAUACCGGUGGCGAAGGCGGCCCCCUGGACAAAGACUGACGCUCAGGUGCGAAAGCGUGGGGAGCAAACAGGAUUAGAU